ACUCCCUCGCGAAAUGCUGAUCGCUGAAUGCGCCACGGCGAAAUUCCGCUGAAAAAGCCGCCGCGGCGAGUAACGCGUUGGGCCGGACGCGAAAGGAGCCCAGUUUCCUGUCUGCGUGUGAAUCCAAUUGACCGCUACGGCAAGUCACGACGCGUCGUGAUCAGUGUCAUCGUGAAAUAAGCUGCGGAGAAUCGUGAUCACGUGUGCGGACAUUGACGUCGGAGUGGCAGCGAGGGAUGCGAUUUCCCGUGUUCGUGAGUGAUAGCCGCGGCAGCACGGCUGCCGCGACCACGUAGUCUCGCGUGCACGCACGCGAACAGAACAGUAUACAGUGUCGUCAUCGUAGCAGCCGUCGUCGUUGUCGUCGUCACCGCUGCUGCUCCGUGCGUGCAAUCUGAGAAUGCCGGUGUGAAGUGAAGAACAAGCGCUCUCCGAAAAAACGCUCCGAUCCUUGCAUAUCGUAAAUCUCAUAAAUCUCACCUACCACCCCCCCCCCCCGAAGAUACACGCAGAAACAAGGCAAAAUGGCACAAAUGGAGCAGCAAUUACCGCUUCCAAUGCCAGAUUUAAGUACUCUUCGUAUAACCACAGCGGUCUCCAUGCUUGGCAAAGCAUAUGGAUGUGGCCAAUGUAAUGGUGAGUUACGUUCGUUUAAGCAAUUAGGAAACAUGUGAAGCAUCAGAAUGAAACGCAAAGAAAAUUACGAUUUUCCGCGUCCAUCUGAUCUUCCUGAUUGCGUACAAAUUUAUAAUAAGAGGGAAACAGGCAUAAACCGGUGACUCUUCAGUUCGAAAUGUUUUCACACUCACAAAAUAUCCAGAUCGAAUAUUCAAAGACAUAUCCAAAUUAGAUCUCAGUCCACAAUCUAAAUUAGAUAUAUCUUGACAUGACUUGUUACAAUGACAUAUAUUUAAAAAAAAAACAAAAUUUUUCAGCAAAUGAAUUCGAAUGUUUUGAAUCAUUAAGAUUUUAUAAUAUUAUUUUUGUAUGCGAUUCUGGUAUAAUAGUUGUAAAGGAAUAAAAAUAUCUAUCUCUUUAUUAAAUGUCAAUUCUUACCUAUUAUAAACAUAAAUUCUCAAAAAAA